rnacentral:lncRNA from 10 species
UCGAUCUCUUGACCUUGUGAUCCACCCGCCUCUGUCUCCCAAAGUGCUGGGAUUACAGGCGUGAGCCACCAUGCCCAGCCUACUUCAUCCUUGUUAUUUACAUAGGGCAUACACCAAGUAACCAAUGGGAAAUCUCUACAGGGUAUUGAAACCCCAGAAAAUUUUGUAACCAGGACCCUUGAGCCACUUGCUCAGGGCCUGCUCCCACCCUAUGGAGUGUGCUUUCAUUUGCAAAAAAUCUCUGCCUUUGUUAUUUCAUUCUUUCCUUGCUUUGUUUGUGCAUUUUGUCCAAUUCUUUGUUCAAAAUGCCAAGAAUCUGGACACCAUCCACCGGUAACAUAUUUUUGCCAGCAAGCCAGGAGAGACCAUCAAGCUUCAGAUGAUCAUGUGACAAGGUUUCCAGCAAGUUCCAAGUGAAGGCACUACAUCCUGCCAUCAAGAAUCUACCCUGUCUCCACUAGACAGAGUAGGGCAAGAGUUCUAUGAUUCCCAAUAGGUAGGGACUACACCCCAAGCCAACACGAAGCAGUUACAGAAGAAAGACCAUCAGUCCCUCUGCCUCCCAUAAAGAUUUAUGGGGAUCACAUCUUUCAGGUGGGAAAUGAGGUAAUAGAAUAGGGCCUGGAGGCAGGGAACCUAAGAACUUCCUAGAACUAAAUCAAAUGGAAACACUUGAGCUAUGACAAGAAAUAUCGUCUUCAUUUACAUAGGGCAUACACCCAGUAAAUGACUUUGUAACUUAACUUCAUCCUCUUCAUUUACAUAGGGCAUACACCAAGUAAUCAAUGCGAAACCUCUAGAAGGUAUUGAAACCCCAGAAAAUUCUGUAACUGGGGCCCUUGAGCCACUUGCUUGGGCCUGCU